UGAGGAAUAUUGGUCAAUGGACGCAAGUCUGAACCAGCCAAGUCGCGUGAAGGAUGACUGCCCUACGGGUUGUAAACUUCUUUUGUAUGGGAGUAAAGUUAGCUACGAGUAGCUAUUUGCAAGUACCAUACGAAUAAGCAUCGGCUAACUCCGUGCCAGCAGCCGCGGUAAUACGGAGGAUGCGAGCGUUAUCCGGAUUUAUUGGGUUUAAAGGGUGCGUAGGCGGUUUUUUAAGUCAGCGGUGAAAGUUUGAGGCUCAACCUUAAAAUUGCCGUUGAAACUGGGAAACUUGAGUAUAUUUGAAGUAGGCGGAAUUCGUGGUGUAGCGGUGAAAUGCAUAGAUAUCACGAAGAACACCAAUUGCGCAGGCAGCUUACUAAACUAUAACUGACGCUGAGGCACGAAAGCGUGGGUAUCAAACA
rnacentral:rRNA from 1 species